AUUGAACGCUGGCGGCAGGCCUAACACAUGCAAGUCGAGCGGAAACGAGUUAUCUGAACUUUCGGGGAACGAUAACGGCGUCGAGCGGCGGACGGGUGAGUAAUGCCUAGGAAAUUGCCAUGAUGUGGGGGAUAACCAUUGGAAACGAUGGCUAAUACCGCAUGAUGCCUACGGGCCAAAGAGGGGGACCUUCGGGCCUCUCGCGUCAGGAUAUGCCUAGGUGGGAUUAGCUGGUUGGUGAGGUAAGGGCUCACCAAGGCGACGAUCCCUAGCUGGUCUGAGAGGAUGAUCAGCCACACUGGAACUGAGACACGGUCCAGACUCCUACGGGAGGCAGCAGUGGGGAAUAUUGCACAAUGGGCGCAAGCCUGAUGCAGCCAUGCCGCGUGUAUGAAGAAGGCCUUCGGGUUGUAAAGUACUUUCAGUCGUGAGGAAGGCGGCGUCGCUAAUAGCGGCGUUGUUUGACGUUAGCGACAGAAGAAGCACCGGCUAACUCCGUGCCAGCAGCCGCGGUAAUACGGAGGGUGCGAGCGUUAAUCGGAAUUACUGGGCGUAAAGCGCAUGCAGGUGGUUUGUUAAGUCAGAUGUGAAAGCCCGGGGCUCAACCUCGGAAUAGCAUUUGAAACUGGCAGACUAGAGUACUGUAGAGGGGGGUAGAAUUCCAGGUGUAGCGGUGAAAUGCGUAGAGAUCUGAAGGAAUACCGGUGGCGAAGGCGGCCCCCUGGACAGAUACUGACACUCAGAUGCGAAAGCGUGGGGAGCAAACAGG
rnacentral:rRNA from 1 species